rnacentral:rRNA from 1 species
AUUGAACGCUGGCGGCAGGCCUAACACAUGCAAGUCGAGCGGUAACACAGGGAGCUUGCUCCUGGGUGACGAGCGGCGGACGGGUGAGUAAUGUCUGGGAAACUGCCUGAUGGAGGGGGAUAACUACUGGAAACGGUAGCUAAUACCGCAUAAUGUCGCAAGACCAAAGAGGGGGACCUUCGGGCCUCUUGCCAUCAGAUGUGCCCAGAUGGGAUUAGCUAGUAGGUGGGGUAACGGCUCACCUAGGCGACGAUCCCUAGCUGGUCUGAGAGGAUGACCAGCCACACUGGAACUAGGACACGGUCCAGACUCCUACGGGAGGCAGCAGUGGGGAAUAUUGCACAAUGGGCGCAAGCCUGAUGCAGCCAUGCCGCGUGUAUGAAGAAGGCCUUCGGGUUGUAAAGUACUUUCAGCGGGGAGGAAGGUGUUGAGGUUAAUAACCUCAGCAAUUGACGUUACCCGCAGAAGAAGCACCGGCUAACUCCGUGCCAGCCGCCGCAGUAA